AUGAAUGAAAAGAAGCAGAUUAUGUGAUUAGUGAGGCAAGUAAUUGACGAGAAUCCUGUAGGUAUGUGAUGAUGAUUGCUAAAGCUAGAGAAAGUUAAGGAUAGUAUAUAUUAAGGGAGUGUUCAAGAAUAAAGAUAGUGUAGUUCAUUAAAAAGUUUGGGAAUAUCCAUGGUAAGAGUUAGAAUAUAAGUUUGAAUCUGGAUGAUUGAGCUAAUAGAAAGAAG
rnacentral:lncRNA from 1 species